rnacentral:rRNA from 1 species
AAGCGGUGGAGCAUGUGGUUAAUUCGAAGCAACGCGAAGAACCUUACCAGGUCUUGACAUCCCGAUGCUAUUCUAGAGAUAGAAAGUUACUUCGGUACAUCGGUGACAGGUGGUGCAUGGUUGUCGUCAGCUCGUGUCGUGAGAUGUUGGGUUAAGUCCCGCAACGAGCGCAACCCCUAUUGUUAGUUGCCAUCAUUCAGUUGGGCACUCUAGCGAGACUGCCGGUAAUAAACCGGAGGAAGGUGGGAUGACGUCAAAUCAUCAUGCCCCUUAUGACCUGGGCUACACACGUGCUACAAUGGUUGGUACAACGAGUUGCGAGUCGGUGACGGCGAGCUAAUCUCUUAAAGCCAAUCUCAGUUCGGAUUGUAGGCUGCAACUCGCCUACAUGAAGUCGGAAUCGCUAGUAAUCGCGGAUCAGCACGCCGCGGUGAAUACGUUCCCGGGCCUU